rnacentral:other from 1 species
UUUUGCCUGGAAUGUGCGACCACCUGUCUUUUUCUGAACCUACAACGGACAUAAGGGAUUCCCAUAUCGCUGUUCGGAUGCCAGGCCUCAACUUAUCGGAGGAAGGCAGAAGAGCGGCUGCGGUUGCCCACCUGGCUAUAUGCUAGGCGUCAGUUUGGCAGGAACGGCAUUCCGGGUCUUAU